GACGAACGCUGGCGGCGUGCUUAACACAUGCAAGUCGAACGGAAAGGCCCCUUUGGGGGUACUCGAGUGGCGAACGGGUGAGUAACACGUGAGUAACCUGCCCUUGACUUCGGGAUAACUUCAGGAAACUGGGGCUAAUACCGGAUAGGAAUCCUUGCUGCAUGGUGGGGGUUGGAAAGCUUCGGCGGUUUUGGAUGGACUCGCGGCUUAUCAGCUUGUUGGUGGGGUAGUGGCUUACCAAGGCUUUGACGGGUAGCCGGCCUGAGAGGGCGACCGGCCACAUUGGGACUGGGAUACGGCCCAGACUCCUACGGGAGGCAGCAGUGGGGAAUAUUGCACAAUGGGCGGAAGCCUGAUGCAGCAACGCCGCGGGCGGGAUGACGGCCUUCGGGUUGGAAACCGCUUUCAGCAGGGGCGAAGCUUGUGGUGACGGUACCUGCAGAAGAAGCACCGGCUAACUACGUG
rnacentral:rRNA from 1 species